AACGAACGCUGGCGGCAUGCCUAACACAUGCGAGUCGAACGAGACCUUCGGGUCUAGUGGCGCACGGGUGCGUAACGCGUGGGAACCUGCCCUUAGGUUCGGAAUAACUCCCCGAAAGGGGUGCUAAUACCGGAUAAUGUCUUCGGACCAAAGAUUUAUCGCCUUUGGAUGGGCCCGCGUUAGAUUAGCUAGUUGGUAGGGUAAAAGCCUACCAAGGCGACGAUCCAUAGCUGGUCUGAGAGGAUGAUCAGCCACACUGGGACUGAGACACGGCCCAGACUCCUACGGGAGGCAGCAGUGGGGAAUAUUGGACAAUGGGCGAAAGCCUGAUCCAGCAAUGCCGCGUGAGUGAUGAAGGCCUUAGGGUUGUAAAGCUCUUUUACCCGGGAUGAUAAUGACAGUACCGGGAGAAUAAGCUCCGGCUAACUCCGU
rnacentral:rRNA from 1 species